rnacentral:rRNA from 1 species
UACAGAGGGGGCAAGCGUUAUUCGGAAUUAUUGGGCGUAAAGGGCGCGUAGGCGGCCUUUCAAGUGACGGGUGAAAUCCCUCGGCUUAACCGAGGAACUGCCUGUCAGACUGGAAGGCUUGAGACCGGGAGAGGUGAGUGGAAUUCCCAGUGUAGCGGUGAAAUGCGUAGAUAUUGGGAGGAACACCUGUGGCGAAAGCGGCGCACUGGACCACAUCUGACGCUGAGGCGCGAAAGCUAGGGGAGCAAACAGG